rnacentral:rRNA from 1 species
GACGAACGCUGGCGGCGUGCUUAACACAUGCAAGUCGAACGAAGUGGCGCACGGGUGAGUAACGCGUAAUCAACCUGCCCUUCAGAGGGGGACAACAGUUGGAAACGAAUGCUAAUACCGCAUAACUUAGGAGGGGAUGGCGUUUGCUUCGUUAGUUGGAGGGGUCACGGCCCACCAAGGCGAUGAUCAUUAUCCGGUCGGAGAGGAUGAACGGCCACAUUGGGACUGAGACACGGCCCAGACUCCUACGGGAGGCAGCAGUGGGGAAUCGUCCGCAAUGGACGAAAGUCUGACGGAGCAACGCCGCGUGAGUGAUGACGGCCUUCGGGUUGUAAAGCUCUGUUAAUCGGGACGCGGUACCGGAAUAGAAAGCCACGGCUAACUACGUGCCAGCCGCCGCGGUAAUUC